rnacentral:tRNA from 1 species
UUACUUUGGCAGAUUAGUGUAUUUGAUUUAGAAUCAUUUUAAGUGAAUUUUUUACAAGUAAUAN